AUGUGGGUAAGCAUCUAACCAGUUCAUGGCACAAUCCAUCCAUUUGUUCACCAGAUAUAUAAUUUAUUAUGUUGCUUAUGCAUUGUACACUGUAACUCCAUUAUUCCAGCAACUCAAAACCCCAUCCAAUCACUUGGUUCAUCUCACUGUUACAAUCUCUAGGGUGUGUUGUCCUUUGCAUCAGAUUCGAAUACUGUUCCUAUAGCACAGGAAAACUAUAAACACAAUAUAUAAUUGUAUCCAUUCACAUCCAGUAUACAGGAGGCCAGGGACACAGUGGAAUGACAUGGUCAAAUUGCUGAAGAAAUAACUACCAACCCAGAUUUCUAUCCACAACAAUAGUAUUUUUCAGGAAGAGCACAAUAUAAGAUUAUAUCUGGUCAAAAAUUGGAAAUUUAGUAGAAAAGUAACCCUAAAAGUUAUCCUUAAGGCCAAAGGAAAGUGAUUACAGGUGAAAGUUCUGCAGUGGUAGAAGGAAUGAGAAUCCAAGAGAUGGAUGCAUCUGCAGAUCAAUACAAUUACUUAUUAUCUCUAUACAACAUGAACAAUAUCUUCUAAUUGAGCAGAAUAAUAGAUAUGCUAUACUCCAAUACCAACACUCAAUGACAUCCUUUGAUGUGUUCAAGAGAAGGGUAAAGGUAUUAACAAUUCUAUAAUAGGUUAGAGAAGUGUUACAAUUCUUAUCUUAGACUAAUGAAUAAAAUGAGUAUAUACAUUUCAAACUAAAAGAAAAUUAAGAUUAUUAAAACCUAUAUAUUUUUAAAAGAAAGCACAAAAAACAGCCUAGAAGAAAACCACAAAAUAAGAUGCAUUUAAAACCAAAUAUAUUAGCUAUCACAUGAAUUGAAUACAGAAUGCGUGAAUAGUAAUUUCUAAUGGAUUAAAAUAAUCCAGUAGUAGUUCAUAAAUUACACAUCUAAGAUAUAAUGUCAUAGAAAUAUAUGAAAUAGAAGAAUGAAAUAUGUAUACUUAUAAUUACUAAACACAAACACACAAAAAUGUGUAUUUGCAUCUGACAAGUAGGAAUAAGGAAGAAAACACCAGUAAAAUAUACUUUACAGUUUAUACACUUUUAAAAAUUUUAAUAUUACUUUUUAUAAAGAUGAGAGUUUCACUAUGUUGCCCAGGCUGAUCUCAAAUUCCUGGCCUCUGGCAAUCCUCCUGCAUAGGACUUCCAAAAUGCUGGGAUUAUAGGAGUGAGCCACUGCACCCGGCCUGUAUACAAUUUUUACCAUCAAUUCAAAUUACAUUAAAAAAAUUUAGUAUAAUGAGAGUAAAGAAUUAAAUAUACAGACAAACCAGGAUAUUUUAAUAUUAGCUAUCUCAGUAAUGAUUUCAAGAAGGCAGGUAUAACAUUGGUGAGGUUCUAUUAGAUUCAUACACCAUAAUGGACAAAUCUGGACUGACAGAUACAUACAGAACAGCAGAUAUCAGUUGCCGAAUGUUUUCUUUUAGCACAAACUGAGUAUUUAAAAAACUGACAAUAUGUAGUAUCAGAAAAAAUCUUUAACUUUCAUAGAAUAAAAGAGAGAAUACAAUCAGUGUAGAGAUCAACAAAAGAUACCUCAAACUCCUGGCCUCAAGUGAUCCUCUUGCCUCAGCCUCCCAAAAUGUUGAGAUUACAGGCUUGAGCCAUCAUGCCCAGCCUAGAUACCUGAUUUCUUUUUAAUUAUGCUUGAAAUUCAAAUUACAAAAUACUAAGUAACCCAUGCAUAGAGGAAACAAAAAUUGAAGAUUAUUUUAUUUGUAAAAUAAUGACAAUACCAAUUUCAUAGGACUUUUUAUUAGUAGUAUCAUAGGCAGUCUUCUGACAAAUUAGGAAAAGUAGAUAGGGUCUGUCCUUAGAGUAGUGGCUUGGGCUGAUUACCUAACUUCUCUGCACCUCAGCACUGUCAUCAUUACAUUGAAGGGGUCCCUACGGUGCCUUAAAGUGCUCAAGCUCUAUUAUUCACCACACUAUUUUGUCAUUUUUAAAUUAUCAUAGGAUAUUCAACCUGAAGUUUUACUUUACCUGCCCACGUCAUCUCUACAUAUUCUCAUGAGAUGCAGUUCAUGAAUUCUAAAGCAGUAUCAUUUAAUGUAUUAUUUUAAAAAGAUAUUUAGAAAGGUAUAUUCAUUUCAAACAUCUUUAAGAAUAACAGUAUAUCCACUUAAUACCAAAAAGCAUCUCUACAGCAUUAUUUCAUUUAUAUCAAUUUUUAAAUCAGCCAAAAAUGCAAAGCUACUAUUAGUAAUAUACAUUUAAGGUGUCGAACUAUGAAGAAAGUAAAAUGAGUAAGGCAAAAUUCUGGAUGGCGGCAUCCUCUGAAGGUGGAGGAUGGAAUUGGCAAUCUGGCAGGCUCAUGCCGGGCAUGCUGAUUUUGUUCUAUUAUAUAAUCAAGGGGCAGGGUUGAGUGUAUUAGUUUAUUAUAUUUAUCAUGUUUUCCCAUUUUUUAUUCAUGUAUAAGUAAAGAUUAAGUGGACAAAUCUUAAUAGCCUGAAGACUGUCUACAUGUGUUUCCCAUGUAAUUCCUAGUAAUGCAAAGAGAGAGAACAUUCCCAAUAGCUUCUCAGGCACAAAUUUGCCCUCUCAGUUAAUACUGCAUAAAUGUGACCAUUAUCUUGUCUUUUAUCAUCAUGUAUGAUGUUUGGUUAUGAACUUAACAACAUAAUUCUACAGUAUUUCCUACUGUGUAUCUGGUAUGCCACUGCCACUCAAGGUUUCUUUGAGAGGGAGACUAUAUAUUUGUUACUAUUAUUAAUGAAUCUAUUUCCAUGACUGCUGUGAAAAACCCAGGCUGAGUUAACAGUGAUGAGCUCUGGCCAGGCACAGUGGCUCACGCCUGUAAUCCAACACUUUGGAAGGCUGAGGCAGGAGGAUCACUUGAGCCCAGGAGUUCAAGACCAGGCUGGGGAACAUAGGGAGACCUCAUCUCUAGAAACUCACAGGUGGCAUGCGCCUGUGGUCUCAGCUACUAGGGAGGUUGAGGCAGGAGGACUGCUUAGGCCAGGAGGAUAAGGCUACAGUGAGCUAUGACUGCACAACUGCACUCCAGCCUGGGGGAUAGAGCAAGACCCCAUCUCAAAAAAAAAAAAAAGAAAAAGCCUCAAGCAUGUCAGUUCAAAAAAAAUUUUUUUUUAAGUGAUGAGUUCUGGAGGUAAAUACACCCACUCUGGAUUUUCUGGUUACAAUCACUACCUUUUCUCUCAACCUCAGCUAGAAAUCCAGACUCAUGAGGCCUCAAUCCCUGACCUUUCAUUCCUUGCAAAUGCCAAAGCCAACUAUGUAGGAAACUUUUUCAGAGAAGAAAACUCUGUCCUCCCAGAAGAUAAAUUUUCCACUUUGCUCUACGAGGCAGAGAGCAACCUCAAACCACAAACAGGUUGGGACUUGAACAGGCCUGAACUCAAGUAUUCUUUCCUGGGAAAUUCAUCCAUCUUGUUGGAUAAAAGCAGCAGUUUUAAUCAGUGUGUUUUCAUCCAUUUACUUACUGUUUCACAGUUUACUUAAACAUCUUACAAAUGACUGUCAAUUGAACUAUUUACAGUUGUUAUUAUAAAAGUUUUUUUUUUUUUUUCUUGAGACAUAGCCUUCACUCUGUCGCCCAGGCUGGAGUGCAGUGGGGUGAUCUCGGCUCACUGCAAGCUCUGCCUCCCGGGUUCAUGCCAUUCUCCUGUCUCAGCCUCCCGAGUAGCUGGGACUACAGGCGCCUGCCACCACGUCUGGCUAAUUUUUUGUAUUUUUUUAGUAGCGACAGGGUUUCACCGUGUUAGCCAGAUGGUCUUGAUCUCCUAGCCUUGUGAUCCACCCGCCUCGGCCUCCCAAAGUGCUGGGAUUACCGCGCCCGGCCGAAAGUGUUUUAAAUCUUUGUAUACAUGUAUUUUGGUGUAAGAAAGCACUCAAUCCUAAUGAGUAUGCCCCAACAUGACUUGUUUGGUUAUAAAAUAUAAGUAUGUUUAAAUUUAAUGUGAAACCCUUAAGUAACAACAUAUAUAAACAUUAACUCAAACAGAUGUCAAAGCUUUGCAACACUGAGUUACACAAAGCCUAAUUAGGUAGACAAGGAUGGGAGGCUGAGGUGGGAGGAUCACUUGAGUUCAGGAGAUCAAGACCAGCCUGGGCAACGUAGUGAGACCCCCAUAUCUAUAAAACAACAACAACAAAAAUAGGAUAACAAAGAACACAAACAACCGAAAUAUUUUGGAUUACAUCAAAAUUUAAAACUAUUCUUCAGGAUACACUGCUAAGAUAACAAAAAGAAACCAAAUACAGAUAAAUGGUUUGCAAAACAUGUAUCUGACAAAUAACUAGCAUUCAGAAUAUUAAAAGAUACAAUGAAUUCUUAAAAUUCAAUGUUAAGAAGAAAAAACAAUUUAAAGUGGGACAAAAGAUUUGGACAGAUAGGGUCUGGUGCAGUGGCUCACGCCUGUAAUCCCAGCACUUUGGGAGGCUGAGGUGGGCGGAUCACCUGAGGUCAGGAGUUCAAGACCAGCCUGGCCAACAUGGUGAAACCCCAUCUCUACAAAAAUACAAAAAUUAACCAGGCAUGGUGGCAUGCGCCUGUAAUCCCAGCUGCUCCAGAGGCUGAGACAGGAGAAUCGCUUGAACCUGGGAGGUGGAGGCUGCAGUGAGCCAAGAUCAUGCCACUGCACUCCAGCAUGGGCAAGAGAGUGAAACUCCACUUAAAAAAAAAAAAGAAAGAGAAAAAUUAGGUAGAAAUAAAGUGUGUCUCAGGCAAGCAAAAAUUAAGGGAAUUUAUCACCACUACACCAGCCUUUCAAGAAAUGAUCAAGGGAAUGCUAUAUCGGGAAAUAAGAAGACAAUAAUCACCAUUAUGUAACCACAUAAAAGUAUAAGACUCACUGGUAGAGCAGAUAGGCAAAGAAAAAAGAGAAAAAAAAAAUCAAAUCUUAUCACUACAGAAAACCACCAAAAUACAAUGAUAAAAAAUAAGAGAUGAAGAAAAGAACAAAGGAUAUACAAAACAUUCUGAAAACCACAAAAUGAAAGGAGUCUUCACUUAAAAAUAAUAACCUUGAGGUAAACAGAUUAAAUUCCUACCUUAAAAGAUAUAUACUAAAUGGGUUUUUAAAAUGACCCAACUAUAUGCUACCUAUAAGAAACUCACUUCACCUCUAAAGACACAAAUAUGGCCAGGCGCAGUGACUCACACCUGUAAUCCCAGCACUUUGGGAGGCUGAGGCGGGUGGAUCACCUGAGGUCAGUUCGAGACCAGCCUGGCCAACAUAGUGAAACCCCAUCUCUACUAAAAAUACAAAAAUUAGCCGGGUGUGGUGGCGCACACCUGUAGUCCCAGCUACUCGGGAGGGUGAGGCAGGAGAAAUGCUUAAACCCAGGAGUCAGAGGUUGCAGUGAGCCAAGAUAGCACCACUGCACUCCAGCCUGGGUGACAGAGCGAGACUAUGUCUGGAAAAAAAAAAAAAAAAAAAAGACACAGACUGAAAGCGAAGGAAUAGAAUAUAUUCCAUGCAAAUGGAAACCAAAAGCAAGCAGGAGUAGCUAUACAUUUUUUUUCUUUUUUCUUU
rnacentral:lncRNA from 1 species